UACGGAGGGUGCAAGCGUUAUCCGGAUUCACUGGGUUUAAAGGGUGCGUAGGUGGGUUGGUAAGUCAGUGGUGAAAUCUCCGAGCUUAACUUGGAAACUGCCAUUGAUACUAUCAGUCUUGAAUAUUGUGGAGGUCAGCGGAAUACGUCAUGUAGCGGUGAAAUGCUUAGAUAUGACAUAGAACACCAAUUGCGAAGGCAGCUGGCUACGCAUAUAUUGACACUGAGGCACGAAAGCGUGGGGAUCAAACAGG
rnacentral:rRNA from 1 species